rnacentral:rRNA from 1 species
UACGUAGGGGGCAAGCGUUGUCCGGAUUCAUUGGGCGUAAAGAGCGUGUAGGCGGCCAGGUAGGUCGGUUGUGAAAACUGGAGGCUCAACCUUCAGACGUCGACCGAAACCAUCUGGCUAGAGUCCGGGAGAGGAGAGUGGAAUUCCUGGUGUAGCGGUGAAAUGCGCAGAUAUCAGGAAGAACACCCGUGGCGAAAGCGGGUCUCUGGGCCGAUACUGACGCUGAGGAGCGAAAGCGUGGGGAGCGAACAGG